AUGGCGCUACCGACUCCGAUGAGAUCUCCUAUUUCCAACAUAUGCAGCCGCCUUGCUGUUCUGGCCCCAUGUGCGGCCCCGUGGCUAACCCUAGCCACCUCUAUCUCCGACGAUGACGCCUCCUCUUCCUCUUGCAGUCCCGUCCUCGUCCUUGCUGGUGCUCCACACGUAUAUCCGAUGGUGACGGCGACCGACGGGUUGUGGGCCUACCAGAGGGCACGGCAGGAGACAGCGCAAGGCCGCUCGCAGCAGGGCGCGUGGGUGCGUGCGGGUGGUAGCCGGCGAGGACAUGUUGAUGUUCAUCCGGGGCACACGGUGAGUAUUCUCUGUUUAUGUGAAUAG
rnacentral:rRNA from 1 species